rnacentral:lncRNA from 1 species
AAAAAAAAAAAUAAAAUAAAAAAGAGAGAGAAGAAAGUUUGGUUAUGAAGGAAGCUAUUUUUGGCUGUAAAAAAGCUCUUCUGUUCUUUUAGAAUUCUAAUUGCUCUCCUGUUUGUGUGGGAGUUUUAUUUUUUUGGGAUUCUUCGUCUCCUUAUAGUUCUAGGAUUUGGUUUAUACUCUAAGCACAACACUUUUUGUCUGAAUUUUUCUUUGAGUUUGUUUGACUAUUGGCCAUUGUUUUCUUAGCAACCGCACCAGAAGUAAUUUAACCUUCAUCUUUGUCUGAUUUUACUGUUGUUGAUUGCCCCGAGAAGCGGAUAAGCAAUUUUGAGAUAUAUUUAUUGAGACAUCUAGUGAGGAAACCUUUAUAUUUAUCUCCAUAU